GGGNUNNACAUGCCACUUUUUNNNNNAANGGGAAAGUNAUCACCUUCUCAUUUUUUNNGACGGUGAAGGGUGGACACAGGUGGUGCAUGGCUGUCGUCAGCUCGUGUCUUGAGAUGUUGGGUUAAGUCCCGCAACGAGCGCAACCCUUGUUUUGAGUUGCCAUUUUAGGGAAACUCAAAAGACUGCCGGUGAUAAGCCGGAGGAAGGUGAGGAUGACGUCAAGUCAGCAUGCCCCUUACGUCCUGGGCGACACACGUGCUACAAUGGCCGGGACAAAGAGAUGCAAUCCCGCGAGGGUUAGCCAACCUCAAAAACCCGGUCUCAGUUCGGAUUGCAGGCUGCAACUCGCCUGCAUGAAGUCGGAAUCGCUAGUAAUCGCUGGUCAGCCAUACAGCGGUGAAUACGUUCCCGGGCCUUGUACACACCGCCCGUCACACCAUGGGAGCUGGCUAUGCCCAAAGUCGUUACCCCAACCAAUUUUNG
rnacentral:rRNA from 1 species